AACUUGAUCUUUAAUAAGCUCCUAAAGCAAGAAAAAUUGAGGUAAAAUUAAGGAACCCAAAUAAAAAACUCUGUUACAGGGUGGAGGGUUUUGAAGUAGCACUUCUCAAAAUGAAGCCCGAGUACAGUACUUAGAAACAUGGACUAGCUAAGGGAUGGGUCUGCCAGGAAAUGCAUUCAUUCCAAUUUUUGCAACAUAGCAAAAUAAAUAAUUGUGAAAAAUGAAAACACUUGAAGUAAUGAUCACCUG
rnacentral:misc_RNA from 1 species